GUUGUAUGUGUUGUGCUGGAGGUUGUAUGUGGUGUGCUGGAGGUUGUAUGUGUGGUGCUGGAGGUUGUAUGUGUGGUGCUGGAGGUUGUAUGUGUGGUGCUGGAGGUUGUAUGUGUUGUGCUGGAGGAUGUAUGUGGUGUGCUGGAGGUUGUAUGUGGUGUGCUGGAGGUUGUAUGUGGUGUGCUGGAGGUUGUAUGUGUGGUGCUGGAGGUUGUAUGUGUUGUGCUGGAGGUUGUAUGUGUGGUGCUGGAGGUUGUAUGUGUUGUGCUGGAGGUUGUAUGUAGUGUGCUGGAGGUUGUAUGUGUUGUGCUGGAGGUUGUAUGUGUUGUGCUGGAGGUUGUAUGUGUUGUGCUGGAGGUUGUAUGUGUUGUGCUGGAGGUUGU
ensembl:lncRNA